UGGGGCUCUAUGGAUCUCUAUGGGGUCUCUAUGGGGCGCUAUGGGGUUUCUAUGAUGCUCUAUGGGGCACUAUAGGUCUCUAUGGGGUCUCUAUGGGUCCCUAUGGGGCUCUGUGGGGUCUAUGGGGUCUCUAUGGGGUCCCAAUGGGGCUCUAUGGGUCCCUAUGGGGUCUAUGGGGCUCUAUGGGGUCUAUGGGUCUCUAUGGGGUCCCUAUGGGGUCUGUGGGGUCUCUAUGGGAUCUAUGGGUCUCUAUGGGAUCUAUGGGUCUCUAUGGGGUCUAUGGGGUCUCUAUGGGAUCUAUGGGUCUCUAUGGGGUCUAUGGGUCUCUAUGGGGUCUAUGGGUCUCUAUGGGGUCUAUGGGAUCUCUAUGGGGUCUGUGCGGUCUCUAUGGGGCUCUAUGGGAUCUAUGGGUCUCUAUGGGUCUCUAUGGGGUCUAUGGGGUCUGUAUGGGAUCUAUGGGGUGGCUAUGGGGUGGCUAUGGGGCAGCUAUGGGGCCAGCCCUACCCGUCCCGUGCCAGCAGCCCCUUUAUGCUGCCAUCCUCUGCCUUCCUCCCGUCGCUGACGAUGAUGAUGGUGGAGCCGCCGGGACCCCGAGCUGCCAGCAGCCGCUGCGACCCCAAAGCUUUGCCCUAUAGGGAGACAUGGGGGGCAGCCCCAUAAGUUGGGGGGCUCACACUGCCCCAUAGAUUUCCCCUAUAGGGGAUCUAUGGGGUUAUAGGGCUGCCCCAUAAGUUGGGGGCUCACACGGCCCCAUAGGUUUCCCCUAUAAGGGAUCUGUGGGGUUAUGGGGCUGCCCCAUAAGUUGGGGGGCUCACACUGCCCCAUAGAUUCCCCCUAUAUGGGAUCUAUGGGGUUAUGGGGCUGC
rnacentral:lncRNA from 1 species